AGUGAACGCUGGCGGUGGGCCUAACACAUGCAAGUCGAACGGCAGCACAUUAAGGGGUUGCUCGUACGGGUGGCGAGUGGCGGAGGGGUGAGGGAUACAUCGGAAUCUACGUUUUCGUGGGGGAUAAAGUAGGGAAACUUACGGUAAUACGGCUAACGACCUGAGGGUGAAAGCAGGGGAUCUUCGGACCUUGCGCGAUUGAAUGAGCCGAUGUCGGAUUAGCGAGUUGGCGGGGUAAAGGCCCACCAAGGCGUCGCUCCGUAGCUGGUUUGUGAGGAUGAUCAGCCACACUGGCACUGCGCCACGGUCCCCCCUCUCACCGUAGGCAGCAGUGGGGAAUACUGGACAAUGGGCGCAAGCCUGAUCCACCCAUACCGCGUGCGUCAAGAAGGCCUUCCGGUUCUAACGCCCUUGUGUUGGGGAAGAAAAGCACCACGUUAAGCCCCCGCUGUUCUGACGGUACUCAACGAAUCAGCACCGGCUACUUUCGUG
rnacentral:rRNA from 1 species